GGCCGAUGAUGCAGUUUUGUUUUAAGGUGGAGUUCUACUUUCUUUUAUAAGUAGUAUUGGAGAGUGAAGACCUUACCAAAAUUCAGGAAUUCACCGAGUCGAGUAAAGUUGGUGUCGUUCGGCAGUUUCGUAAAGGAUUGACCUUAUUGAUUCUUCGGUCAAGAGAUAGUGACCUGCAUCUAGAAUAACUCCUGCCAAAAGAGCAAGGAAGUUUGUGCGAGGUUCGCUCACCAGGAAAAAGCCGGGUCUGGAAAUCGCGAUCAGUGCCUGUGACCGAAGGAUGGUUUCACGAGUAAGUUGGAAAUUGGAGAACAGCAACAACCGAGUGGUGAAGGAAGUCUGAGACCAGAAAUCUUCCCCCGACAACAGCAACAAUCAAGUGGUGACUAAGAAUCUUAUUACCACAUCUCCUGGACACUCGAAUUGUUGGAUCUAGUCAUCCCAGCCUAUUACGUAAGACCAGGGAAUUAAUUGUGGAUUUCAGGAAAGGGAAGUCAAGAGAACACACACCAUUCUUCACUGAGGGGUCAAUCAUGGAAAAGGUGAGAAGCUCCAAGUUCCUGAGCUUAACAUCUCAGAUGACCGAUCCUGGUCUCAACACGUUGAUGCAGUUUCGAAGAAGGCAUGCAAUUGGAUAUACUUCAUCAGGAAUUCAAGGUGAUUUGGUAGUGUCACCAAAGACUCGAGCAAAUUUCUACAAAUGUGGAGUGGGAGGCAUUCUGACUGCCCGGUGUGGAAGCUCCAAUGUACAGGAUCAAAAGAGAGUGCAGAGGUUUGCGGACUUAUCCAGCUCCAUUGUGGGCAACCUCUCCACCACCAAGGUCAUCUUCAAAAGGCAAUGCCUCAAGAACGCAGUAUCAAUUAUGAAGGACCCUUGCCUGAUGAGAUCAUGACCACCAUCAGGGAUGAAGUACAGGAGCCUGAGAGCCCACAUCGAACGUUUUAGGAACAGCUUCUUCCCCUCCGCCAUCCACUUUCUGAACAGUCUAUGAACACUGCCUUACUAAUUUUCUUUUCCUGUAUUUAUUUAGUAUCGCAACUUACAGUAAUUUUGUAUUGUCUUGCACUGUACUGCUGCCACAGUACAAUGAAUUUCACAGCUUGUCAGUAAUAA